AUUGAACGCUGGCGGCAGGCCUAACACAUGCAAGUCGAACGAGUGGCGGACGGGUGAGUAACGUCUGGGAAACUGCCUGAUGGAGGGGGAAAACUACUGGAAACGGUAGCUAAUACCGCAUACCAUCGGAUGUGUCCAAAUGGGAUUCGCGAGUGGGUGGGGUAAAGGCUCACCUAGGCGACGAUCCCUAGCUGGUCUGAGAGGAUGACCAGCCACACUGGACCUGUGACACGGUCCAGACUCCUCCGGGGGGCGGCAGUGGGGAAUAUUGCACAAUGGGCGCAAGCCUGGUGCAGCCAUGCCGCGUGUAUGAAGAAGGCCUUCGGGUUGUAAAGUACUUUCAGCGGGGAGGCGUUACCCGCAGAGGAAGCACCGGCUAACUCCGUGCCAGCCGCCGCGGUAAUUC
rnacentral:rRNA from 1 species